CAGAAAGUUCCACGCGGAAGCGUAUACGAUAUAUGUAUACAUUAUCAAUGCGUUCGAUAAUUUGCAAAACGCAUCAUGUAUACGUAUUUCCAAGAUAACUAUUCCCGUUAGUUCGAUUCUCAUGUAGCAUAUGUUCCCCGACGUAUAAGUUAACAUAUAGCGGUUCCAUAAUCACGAUUGGACGAUUCGAUUUGCCGCGCUUCGAAUUUAACCGGGAAACUAGAUGUGCCCCUUUGAAAUUUCCAAAAACUCUCCGUAAACAGCAACUUGGUAACAUUACCUCGGUUAUAUUACCCUCACCGACGACCACCACACGCAGAGCGGUAUCGCAUCCCCCUUUCGUUUCACCGUUUCCGUCCAUCCCCACUGUCGUGGAAACUUUUACCCCUUCCCUUCCCCCACCAUUCCCCUGACAUAGGGCCGGCCCAUCAACGUCGCGGUGCUAUUCAUGCCGCGCAUCUCGGCUCACGCAGUUGCUGCGUUGCCAUGUCUCCUCCGACGAACCUGAACUUUCUUGUCCAGCUGGCGACUCUCGAAGUCUCGAACAUGUCUUUUGUAAAAUUCUUCCCAAAAUUAAAACAUAAUCUUACAUAAAUGCACAUUAUAACAUACAAUCACCUUAAUUAUCAAAUUAUCAUAAUUUUUUGUAAAAGAGAACCAAAUUGGGGUGGUUUUGCGGAUGUAAACGGGAUAUGAAUGCGAACCAAGUGGAAAGCAAACAUUCUGUUUUGCCAGGCUGUGCAGUUAUCUCUUUCCAAGAGCAAAACACGGGGCACGUGUUUGAACUUGUUCGCCUCACGAAUUGGCAACGUUGUACUUCGUUCAAAAUAGCACUCCCAGCUGGCGGCUUUCGCUUAACAUCCGAUAGGCUAUAGUUUGAUGAGAACUGUUUUUGACUUUAUCGCUAAAGUAGAACCGUUUUCGUUCAUAUUUUGUUUUCCGAUUUCGUUCGCCAAAAACCACGGUUAACAAUUUCUAUGAUUCGCUAAGCGAUCGGAGAUACGGUCGAUAUGUGUCAUCGAUUGCAUCAUCUCUUCGAAAAGAUGGCUGUUCUUUUCUACUUGGAAACAGUUAUGCGGAAACACGGCAAUCAGCAAUUAAGCUAUUUCUUUCGAAUUUAUUAUUAAUAUUAGAUUUGUUAUGUGAUUAGGACUGUUAAUUGUCCAAAGAUAUAACUAUUGCAAUAUCUUUAUUGUUGAAGCUUGAUUACUGAUUGUACUAUUAAAUUAAUAAAUGUAAUAGUUUUAAAAGUAAAUGAAGUUUGGAACUGUCAGAACAGUUGUCGCGCUACCAUCUACCGACAAUUGGCAGAAUUACUGAAAGAUCAGAUAAUAGAAAAUGAUACAAAAAUAAAUGCGUAAAUAAAUAAAUAAAACUGUUUUUCGCAAAGCACUGAAGUCUAUUUAAUAUCUGUUUGCAAAAACAGUAUAUAUUACAAUUGUUGAACAAAAUUUUGCUAUAUGAAAAUUUUCAAAUGAUUCUAUUAUACCGACGCAUAUUUUAAUUCAAUGCAAAACACUUUGCAAACAGAAAAUUGCACUAUCUUACAUACACAUACACAUACACACACAAUCUAUCUAUAAUAAUAUUAUAUAUAUCUUUAUAAUAUUCGGUAUAUAAUUACAAUAAUAAUAAUGAACCAUUUUCGUAAAUAUAAUUAAUAUAACUCAAGAUAAGUAAUAGAGUGAAUGUAAAUCUUUAAUUAAUCCUUUCUGAAUUCAUUAAAUAAUUGAACAAUUAUUGAGAAGUGUUAGCAAAAUACAAAUUUAAGAUAUAUUUCAUAUUUUAUGUAGUAAGUAUAAGAUAAUGUAUGAUUAAUUACUAACGAAAUUAUUUUAUUUACUAUUAGUAUGAGCGGAGUUAUUCUUUCGCGGAACAACGGGAUACGAAUUUUAAAUUUAUUUCCAACGCGACGGGUCGGAUGAUUCAGGAACCUUCUCAGGAAUUAGGAACAAGUCGGUGCAGGUUACUGUGCUGUGUGCAGGUUCAGUCCUGUCCAAGCAGGCCUAACGACAUCUUCAAAGUACUAACGUGUUGUGUUACUAAGCCAAGCCGAAUGCAUCGAUUGUGUCAGAGAAAAUUGCUUGAUGACGUUUGUUUCGUGAUACAGUAUACCGGUCUUCUAUUUCAAAAGUAUCAUUCACUUCGUUUUAUGCGUUGAUUCUCUCAUGUGUAAUGUGUAUCCUUUUUGCAAUUGAAAUUUGUUUCUCUUAAAUGCUAAUUCUAACCUUUAUGUUAUGUUACAUAUUAUGUAUAUCAGUAUGUAUAUCAGAUCAAAGUAAACUGAAUAUCGUACUUGAAAUCUGACGUUACAUUUAAUAAAUAUAUGUGGUUAUAAGUACAUACGAGUCGUCUGUGUUAUAACAUAAUGUUUUGUCAUUGAUGGUAAUUGUAUUAUAUUAUUAAUAAAGUAUGAGUGAAACUAUUA